CCUACGGGAGGCAGCAGUGAGGAAUAUUGGUCAAUGGACGAGAGUCUGAACCAGCCAAGUAGCGUGAAGGAUGACUGCCCUAUGGGUUGUAAACUUCUUUUAUAUGGGAAUAAAAUGUUCCACGUGUGGGAUUUUGUAUGUACCAUAUGAAUAAGGAUCGGCUAACUCCGUGCCAGCAGCCGCGGUAAUACGGAGGAUCCGAGCGUUAUCCGGAUUUAUUGGGUUUAAAGGGAGCGUAGGUGGAUUGUUAAGUCAGUUGUGAAAGUUUGCGGCUCAACCGUAAAAUUGCAGUUGAAACUGGCAGUCUUGAGUACAGUAGAGGUGAGCGGAAUUCGUGGUGUAGCGGUGAAAUGCGUAGAUAUCACGAAGAACUCCGAUGGCGAAGGCAGCUCACUGGACUGUAACUGACACUGAGGCUCGAAAGUGUGGGUAGCAAACAGGAUUAGAUACCCUGGUAGUC
rnacentral:rRNA from 1 species